rnacentral:lncRNA from 10 species
ACGGGCGGUCCCGGGGAAUGGGCGGUCCCUGGGCGUCCCCCCGGCGUGGAAGGUUGAGAAGAAGUUUGAGAGGAACAGCAGAGGGUCGGGGAGGCGGCGGGAAGCACUCUCCACCCGGGCCGGCCUGAAACACCUUCCCCGGGGGCCGCUGCCUGCGACUCACUCCCCGGGCUUCGAUUUACGCGAAAACUCCUGGGGCUGGUGGGGGUGAUCGUGCAAAGCGUGAGCUCCGGGGUUCCUUCUCUUUCCGAAAUCCGUCCACGUUUUAUUAUUUCACCUUUAUGCACCGGUUUCUCCAACAAACGUUUAUUGAGCAACGAAGUACUUGGAAAGCGCUUUGGUGGAUGCCGUCCGUGGGAGCUGCAAAGAUGACUAAAACCCUGACCCAGCAAGGGUUUUAUAUGUUUUAAAUGUUCUGGACGUGAAACCCACAGAAAGAUAACUACGCUAUUAUUAUAAUUAUCUCCUCCAGCCACAAUCAAUGUCCUUUUCACCAAAACUCCAGAUUUGUUUUCCAUCUAAGAGAUGAAAAACAUCUAGGAGAUUCUCCAUCUAAGAGAUUCUCUUGCCUCAGCCUCUCGAGUGGCUGGGAUUACAGGCGUCCACCACGACGCGCUAGCCCGGCCAAUUUUUGUAUUUUUAGUAGAGACGGGGUUUCACCAUGUUGGCCAGGCUGGUCUGGAACUCCCGACCCCAGGUGAUCCGCCCUCCUUCGCCUCCCAAAAGUGCUGAAAUUACAGGCAUGAGCCACCGUGCUGGGCUUCGAAGCACUGUUUAAUAUCUCCUACUUAUGCACAGAACAGCAUAACUGUAUGAUUACUUUAUGGGCCAGGAUUACUCAGUGAUACAGUUAUUUUGGGUUUGUAGAAUAGAAGAUGGUAGAAAAUUGGAUUUAAACGGAGUAGGAUAAUUUUUAUGUUAUAAAGUGUACAGCAUAAAAGCAGAUUGCUAGCUUGAAUUGUUAAAAUUAUUUCAUUGAUGUUAAUAUAUGA